UAGAAGAUGGCGACCGGCGGACGGGUGCGUAACGCGUAUGCAACUUGCCUAUAACUUAGGGAUAACUUGGAGAAAUCCUUGCUAAUAUCUGAUGUGAUCAAAAAUUCGCAUGUUUUUUUGAUUAAAGAAUUUCGGUUAUAGAUAGGCAUGCGUUCUAUUAGCUUGUAGGUGAGGUAACGGCUCACCUAAGCUUCGAUAGAUAGGGGUCCUGAGAGGGAGACCCCCCACACUGGUACUGAGACACGGACCAGACUUCUACGGAAGGCAGCAGUAAGGAAUAUUGGACAAUGGAGGCAACUCUGAUCCAGCCAUGCCGCGUGAAGGAAGAAGGCCCUAUGGGUCGUAAACUUCUUUUAUACAGGAAGAAAUCUUUCCACGUGUGGAAAGUUGACGGUACUGUAAGAAUAAGGAUCGGCUAACUCCGUGCCAGCAGCCGCGGUAAUACGGAGGAUCCAAGCGUUAUCCGGAAUUAUUGGGUUUAAAGGGUCCGCAGGCUGUUUGUUAAGUUAGAGGUGAAAUCCUACCGCUCAACGGUAGAACUGCCUUUAAAACUGGCAAACUUGAGUUAUUGUGAAGUAAUUAGAAUGUGUAGUGUAGCGGUGAAAUGCAUAGAUAUUACACAGAAUACCGAUUGCGAAAGCAGAUUACUAACAAUUAACUGACGCUGAGGGACGAAAGCGUGGGUAGCGAACAGGAUUAGAUACCCUGGUAGUCCACGCCGUAAACGAUGGUCACUAGCUGUUUGAUGUACAUUGGUACAUUGAGUGGCUAAGCGAAAGUGAUAAUGACCCACCUGGG
rnacentral:rRNA from 1 species